AUAGAGCUUUACCAAAAUCUUCAGUUCAUUUUGCUCUUCUUUUGGAUCAUCAACUUUGUACCAUGGAAGGUGGAAAUAUGUUCUGGUAUCAGCUUUCAGAACUGAGAUCUUUGCUAGACGGGUUGUAUCCUUGUUUUGGUGCUGAUUUGAGGGUUAAAGUUCCCUGGAACUCAUUGCAUGUCUAGGAUCAGAAAAAUAUUAGAGAUGAAACUGGAAAACAACAAUUUCUAUCAUGGUGGAAUACCCGUAUCAGACAAUUUCCAAAACUUUCAAGGAUGGUUUGAGAUUUGCUAUCAACUCAAGCUUCUUCAGUUGCUUUGGAGCAAGCCUUCAACGCAGGAAGAUUUAUAAUAGGAGAUCAUUGGCAUUCAUUAGCAAGGGAUAGUUUGAAGAUUUCGGUAUUAUUUAGAAAUUGGAUCAAUGCCGAAUGAAGAAAUUUUAGGCUCCCCAAAUUACCGCCCCAUAUUGAAGACGAAAUAGAUAAAAUUUUUGAGAAAAAUAGUGACGAUGAAAUGGAAGCAAUGGAGGAACAAGAAAAUAGACCAGUUCUGGAAGAUUUAUCCGCCGAAGACAUAGAAAAGUUACGCUAAAAAAAUUAUAGACAAUUUAGAUAUUAAUAAGAUUCUACAAUAGAUAUCUAAUUCAAA